rnacentral:lncRNA from 1 species
AUGUCCCUACCAGAAAGAAGAUCGUGUCUACCACUUCUAGGGAAAAAUAAUUUGGUUACCAUGUGGUGUAGCAGUCUCAUCUCAAUAGAAAGAAUCUUUGCCUCUAAUUUGUUCAGACUUUCAGUGAAGGAUCUCCCUAGGAUAACAUUUAUUCCUUCCUCUUUAACUGGGAGCUCCAUGUUGGUAUACCCCUCACAUGGUAAAUGAAGAAUCUGCCCCAAAAGCAUAGGAUCUAGGCUAAUAUCUACACCCUUCACUGUGGAUUUCACUGUUUUAUUACUGUACCCCAAAUUUAGGUAAAACUCUCU